GUGGGGAAUAUUGGGCAAUGGUCGGAAGACUGACCCAGCCAUGCCGCGUGCAGGAAGACGGCCCUCUGGGUUGUAAACUGCUUUUAUCUGGGAAGAAAAAGGCCAUGCGUGGCAAAUUGCCGGUACCAGAUGAAUAAGCACCGGCUAACUCCGUGCCAGCAGCCGCGGUAAUACGGAGGGUGCGAGCGUUGUCCGGAUUUAUUGGGUUUAAAGGGUGCGUAGGCGGCUGAUUAAGUCAGCGGUGAAAGACUUCGGCUUAACCGGAGCAGUGCCGUUGAUACUGGUUGGCUUGAGUGUCGGAGGGGUACAUGGAAUUGAUGGUGUAGCGGUGAAAUGCAUAGAUACCAUCAGGAACACCGAUAGCGAAGGCAUUGUACUGGCCGACAACUGACGCUGAUGCACGAAAGUGUGGGGAUCGAACAGGAUUAGAAACCCGUGUAGUCC
rnacentral:rRNA from 1 species